AUUGAACGCUGGCGGCAGGCCUAACACAUGCAAGUCGAACGAGUGGCGGACGGGUGAGUAAUGUCUGGGAAACUGCCUGAUGGAGGGGGCUAACUACUGGAAACGGUAGCUAAUACCGCAUACCAUCAGAUGUGCCCAGAUGGGAUUAGCUAGUUGGUGGGGUAACGGAUCACCAAGGCGACGAUCCCUAGCUGGUCUGAGAGGAUGACAGGCCACACUGAAAAUAAGCAACGAGCCAGACUCCAACGGGAGGCAGCAGUGGGGAAAAUUGCACAAUGGGAGCAAGCCUGAUGCAGCCAUGCCGCGUGUAUGAAGAAGGCCUUCGGGUUGUAAAGUACUUUCAGCGGGGAGGCGUUACCCGCAGAAGAAGCACCGGCUAACUCCGUGCCAGCAGCCGCGGUAAUAC
rnacentral:rRNA from 1 species